UUGCUGCAUGUUUAUCAAAAUUAAAAAAAAUUGCGCUAUUUACUGUUUUAUAAAAUUUGGGGUCACAUAAUCUCCUUGCAAAAUGAAACAAAUUGCUGUUUUAAAAAAUAGGGGUCCAUGCACUCGUUUUCAAAUUAAAUCAGUUUGAACGAUAAAAAUCAGUCGAAAAAUGCAUCUUUUCCCGAUAUGUCAGAGUUUGACGUCGCGAAAAUAACAUUUUACGUUAGCAACGUCAUUACCUUCACUGUAACUGUAUCGUAUGCCCUUAAACUAGAGGGUCCAAGGACCCUGUGUUGCUCACCUGAUAUUUUUAUUUACAAUUGAUGCAUGAUAAAUGCAACUGUUGUACUGUCGUUUAGUUUCAGAGAUAUAAUACUAAAAAGUGCGUUUGAAACCCGUUUUAUUUCAGCCAUGUGGGCAGGCAGGGUCAUCAUACACAGGGGUCCGUGGAUAUCCUAGUGGUGAUUUAAACCAAGUUUGUUUAAAUUUGACAGUUGUUUCAAGGGAGAAUUUUGUAAAAUUUAUCUAACGAGAAAUGCAAAGUAAUGAGAAAGUUGUGAAGUUGUUUUGUUGUUGCGCAACCCCCUGCUCCCCCUUUGCCAAAUAAAACAAAAAGGUAAUAAAAAAUUAUCAUAUAAGGGCAAUCUAUCCUAUUAAUGAUUUCUGCAAAAUUCAGUUGAUUGUUCAAGGGUUGUAUAGCCAGCUGAGGUCGUUAAAAACUCUCUUUUGUUGUUGCAGAUAGAUCUUGACCUGAUAAACAAUUUUACCACAUGUCAGAUUUGCUCUAAAUGCUUUGGUUUUUGAGUGAUAAGCCAAAAACUGCAUUUUACCCCUAUGUUCUAUUUUUAGCCAUGGCGGCCAUCUUGGUUGGUUGGGCGGGUCAUCGGACACAAUUUUUAAACUAGAUACCCGAAUGAUGAUUGUGGCCAAGAUUGGUUUAAUUUGGCCCAUUAGUUUCAGAG
rnacentral:lncRNA from 1 species